rnacentral:ncRNA from 1 species
UGCCUGAGAGCCGCCGGGUGAAAAGGGAAACGGGUGGGAGACCCGUGCGGUGAACAGUCGCUGUAUGCCCUGUAUGCUUUGUACGCGUCGGUGAAAGCCGGUCAUUGGGAAACCGAGAAGGCAGCGUAUAAGGCAGGCAAUAUUUUGCUUAAGGGGACAAGCCAGAAGACCUGCUUUGACG